UACGAAGGGGGCUAGCGUUGCUCGGAAUCACUGGGCGUAAAGGGUGCGUAGGCGGGUCUUUAAGUCAGGGGUGAAAUCCUGGAGCUCAACUCCAGAACUGCCUUUGAUACUGAGGAUCUUGAGUUCGGGAGAGGUGAGUGGAACUGCGAGUGUAGAGGUGAAAUCGUAGAUAUUCGCAAGAACACCAGUGGCGAAGGCGGCUCACUGGACCGGUAUUGACGCUGAGGUGCGAAAGCGUGGGGAGCAAACAGG
rnacentral:rRNA from 1 species